CAGAGAAUAUUUUAUUUAAAAUUUUAAUUUUGGGGAUUAAAGAUGGGUUAUUUUAUUCUUCUCUGA
rnacentral:tRNA from 1 species